rnacentral:rRNA from 1 species
AUAAGCGAAAGCUUGACAGGGUUACUCUGAGUGAUUUCCGCUAAGGAAGUCUUUUGGCACCUCUAAAAAUGGUGCAGAAUAAGGGGUGGGCAAGUCUGGUGUCAGCCGCCGCGGUAAUACCAGCACCCCGAGUGGUCGGGACGAUUAUUGGGCCUAAAGCAUCCGUAGCCGGUCCUGCAAGUCCUCCGUUAAAUCCACCCGCUCAACGGUUGGGCCGCGGGGGAUACUACAGGGCUAGGAGGCGGGAGAGGCAAGCGGUACUCGAUGGGUAGGGGUAAAAUCCACUGAUCCAUUGAAGACCACCAGUGGCGAAGGCGGCCUGCCAGAACGCGCUCGACGGUGAGGGAUGAAAGCUGGGGGAGCAAACCGGAUUAGAUACCCCCGUAGUCC